rnacentral:rRNA from 1 species
AAACAUGUCUUUUUGAAAAUAAUUUAAAGUUUAAUCUGCCCACUGAUNAAAUUAUUAAAGGGCUGCAGUAUUUUGACUGUACAAAGGUAGCAUAAUCAUUAGUCUCUUAAUUGGUGACUUGUAUGAAAGAUUGGAUGAAAUAUAUACUGUCUCUAUUUAAUUUAUAAAAUUUAAUUUUUUAGUAAAAAAGCUAAAAUGAAUUUAAAAGACGAGAAGACCCUAUAGAGUUUGAUAAUUUAUUUAAUUAUUAUUAAUAUAUAAAUUUUAAAAUUAAAAUUAAAUAAAUUAUUUUGUUGGGGUGAUAGAAAAAUUAAAUUAACUUUUUUUUUAUUUUAUACAUUAAUUUAUGAAUGAAUGAUCCAUUAAUAAUGAUUAAAAGAAAAAAUUACCUUAGGGAUAACAGCGUAAUUUUUUUUUUUAGUUCAAAUAGGAAAAAAAGUUUGCGACCUCGAUGUUGGAUUAAGAUAAAAUUUAAAUGCAAAAG